rnacentral:rRNA from 1 species
AGCGAACGCUGGCGGCAGGCCUAACACAUGCAAGUCGAACGGUAACGCGGGGCAACCUGGCGACGAGUGGCGAACGGGUGAGUAAUACAUCGGAACGUGCCCAGUAGUGGGGGAUAGCCCGGCGAAAGCCGGAUUAAUACCGCAUACGACCUACGGGUGAAAGCGGGGGAUCGCAAGACCUCGCGCUAUCGGAGCGGCCGAUGUCAGAUUAGCUAGUUGGUGGGGUAAAGGCCUACCAAGGCGACGAUCUGUAGCUGGUCUGAGAGGACGACCAGCCACACUGGGACUGAGACACGGCCCAGACUCCUACGGGAGGCAGCAGUGGGGAAUUUUGGACAAUGGGCGCAAGCCUGCUCCAGCCAUACCGCGUGGGUGAAGAAGGCCUUCGGGUUGUAAAGCCCUUUUGUUGGGAAAGAAAUCCUAUCGGUUAAUAACCGGUGGGGAUGACGGUACCCAAAGAAUAAGCACCGGCUAACUUCGUGCCAGCCGCCGCAGUAAUAC